rnacentral:rRNA from 1 species
ACGGGGGGUGCAAGCGUUGUUCGGAAUCAUUGGGCGUAAAGCGCGCGCAGGCGGCUUGGUAAGUCAGAUGUGAAAUCCCUGGGCUUAACCCAGGAAGUGCAUUUGAUACUGCCUCGCUAGAGUACGGGAGAGGAAAGUGGAAUUCCUGGUGAGUAGGAGAUAUUCGUAGCUAUCAGGAGGAACACCGGUGGCGGAGGCGACUUUAUGGCCCUAUACUCCCGAUCAGGCGCGAAAGGGUGGGGAGCUAACAG